rnacentral:lncRNA from 1 species
UUUGGCUCGUACCCAAACAUUUUAUUCCUUCUUUUUCGGCCAAUAAGAUUGUUUCCCUCUAUGGUACAAAUUUCAUUCCUCCUAUGGAUUCCAAUAUAUACCCUGGCUUUUGGUUCCAAACUAUACCUCUUCAGUCACUUGUUAUCAAAUACUCAAUUCUAUGACUUUGGUCAUUCAUUUCGUUCAUCUCCAUGAUGCA